AACGAACGCUGGCGGCAGGCUUAACACAUGCAAGUCGAGCGAGGACUUCGGUCCUAGCGGCGGACGGGUGAGUAACGCGUGGGAACGUGCCCUUUCCUCCGGAAUAGCCCAGGGAAACUUGGAUUAAUGCCGGAUACGCCCUUUUGGGGAAAGAUUUAUCGGGGAAGGAUCGGCCCGCGUUGGAUUAGGUAGUUGGUGGGGUAAUGGCCUACCAAGCCGACGAUCCAUAGCUGGUUUGAGAGGAUGAUCAGCCACACUGGGACUGAGACACGGCCCAGACUCCUACGGGAGGCAGCAGUGGGGAAUCUUGGACAAUGGGGGCAACCCUGAUCCAGCCAUGCCGCGUGAUCGAUGAAGGCCUUAGGGUUGUAAAGAUCUUUCAGCUGGGAAGAUAAUGACGGUACCAGCAGAAGAAGCCCCGGCUAACUCCGUGCCAGCCGCCGCUGUAAGAC
rnacentral:rRNA from 1 species